UACGGAGGAUGCAAGCGUUAUCCGGAAUGAUUGGGCGUAAAGCGUCCGCAGGUGGUUUUGUAAGUCUGUUGUUAAAGCGUCAUGCUCAACAUGAUUACAGCAAUGGAAACUACAAGACUAGAGUGCGUUAGGGGUGAAGGGAAUUCCUGGUGUAGCGGUGAAAUGCGUAGAGAUCAGGAAGAACACCGGUGGCGAAGGCGCUUCACUAUGCCGCAACUGACACUGAGGGACGAAAGCUAGGGGAGCGAAUGGG
rnacentral:rRNA from 1 species